rnacentral:rRNA from 1 species
UACGGGGGGGGCAAGCGUUGUUCGGAAUUACUGGGCGUAAAGGGCUCGUAGGCGGCCAACUAAGUCGGAUGUGAAAUCCCCAGGCUUAACCUGGGAACUGCAUCCGAUACUGGAUGGCUUGAAUUCGGGAGAGGGAUGCAGAAUUCCAGGUGUAGCGGUGAAAUGCGUUGAUAUCAGGAGGAACACCCAUGGCGAAGGCGAGGUUACUGGGCAUUAUCUGACGCUGAGGCGCGAAAGCGUGGGUAGCAAAC